rnacentral:tRNA from 2 species
GGCGGUGUAGCUCAGCUGGUUAGAGCGGCGGACUCAUAACCCGCAGGUCACUGGUUCGAGCCCAGUCACCGCCA